rnacentral:rRNA from 1 species
UACGUAGGGCGCGAGCGUUGUCCGGAUUUAUUGGGCGUAAAGAGCUCGUAGGCGGUCUGUUGCGUCUGCUGUGAAAACCCGGGGCUUAACCCCUGGCUUGCAGUGGAUACGGACAGACUAGAGGUAGGUAGGGGAGAAUGGAAUUCCCGGUGUAGCGGUGAAAUGCGCAGAUAUCGGGAGGAACACCGGUGGCGAAGGCGGGUCUCUGGGCCGAAACUGACGCUGAGGAGCGAAAGCGUGGGGAGCGAACAGG